rnacentral:rRNA from 1 species
UACAGAGGUCUCAAGCGUUGUUCGGAUUCAUUGGGCGUAAAGGGUGCGUAGGCGGCGAGGUAAGUUGGAUGUGAAAUCCCGGGGCUCAACCCCGGAACUGCAUUCAAUACUGCCUUGCUAGAGUACUGGAGAGGAGAUUGGAAUUUACGGUGUAGCAGUGAAAUGCGUAGAUAUCGUAAGGAAGACCAGUGGCGAAGGCGGAUCUCUGGACAGUUCCUGACACUGAGGCACGAAGGCCAGGGGAGCAAACGGG